GACGAACGCUGGCGGCGUGCCUAAUACAUGCAAGUAGAACGCUGAAGGAGGAGCUUGCUUCUCUGGAUGAGUUGCGAACGGGUGAGUAACGCGUAGGUAACCUGCCUGGUAGCGGGGGAUAACUAUUGGAAACGAUAGCUAAUACCGCAUAAGAGUAGAUGUCGCAUGACAUUUGCUUAAAAGGUGCAAUUGCAUCACUACCAGAUGGACCUGCGUUGUAUUAGCUAGUUGGUGAGGUAACGGCUCACCAAGGCAACGAUACAUAGCCGACCUGAGAGGGUGAUCGGCCACACUGGGACUGAGACACGGCCCAGACUCCUACGGGAGGCAGCAGUAGGGAAUCUUCGGCAAUGGACGGAAGGCUGACCGAACAACGCCGCGUGAGUGAAGAAGGUUUUCGGAUCGUAAAGCUCUGUUGUAAGAGAAGAAAGAGUGUGAGAGUGGAAAGUUCACACUGUGACGGUAUCUUACCAGAAAGGGACGGCUAACUACGUG
rnacentral:rRNA from 1 species